UACGUAGGUGGCAAGCGUUGUCCGGAAUUAUUGGGCGUAAAGCGCGCGCAGGCGGUCUUUUAAGUCUGAUGUGAAAGAUCGGGGCUCAACCCCGAGAGGUCAUUGGAAACUGGGAGACUUGAGUACAGAAGAGGAGAGUGGAAUUCCACGUGUAGCGGUGAAAUGCGUAGAUAUGUGGAGGAACACCAGUGGCGAAGGCGACUCUCUGGUCUGUAACUGACGCUGAGGCGCGAAAGCGUGGGGAGCAAAC
rnacentral:rRNA from 1 species